GGUUUGUGGCUCAGUGGUAGAGUGCUUGCCUGGCAUGUGUGAAGCACUGGGUUCAAUACUCAACACCA
rnacentral:tRNA from 1 species